UCCGCCAGGGUCUGCAGCGCGCGCGGGUAGUCGAUCCGCUGCGCGGACGCGGGUUCCGGGGCCUGGCGGCCGCGCGCCACCUCCUCCUCCAGGGCGGCCGCAUGCUCGCGCAGCCGCACGUGCUUCCACAGCACCGCCGCCAGCACCGACACCAGCAGCGCGUUGAACACCGCCGACAGGUGCAUCCUAGUGCCACCGCGGGGCGCUAGUGAGAGGACGGCCCCGGGGAAGUGCCAUGGCCCGGACGGGCUUGACCCGUCUCCACAGGCACCCCGAGGAUCGGCAAAAGCCUGCGGGAGAGGAGAACAGAAAGGUGUUUGUCUGGAGUACCUUCAAGCUUCCGCUGUGUGUCAGGUACUGUGCCUGCACUUUGUGCGCGCGCUGAGCAGGAGAGGGGCAGAGGAGGAGAGAGAGAGCAGGCUCCAAGUUCAAUGUGGAACCCUACACGGGGCUGGAUUCCACGACCCUGAGAUCAUGACCUGAGCCAAAAAUCAAGAGUUGGAUGCUUCACCAGAUGAUCCCCCUGGGCGCCCCAGCCGUGGAUUCUUGAACCAUCUUGCACAUUCGAAGGUAUGGUAGAGUAGACUGCUGUUCAAAAUACUCACUCCCUCCCCUCCAGUCUGCUUCCACAUGGGGGAGUAUAUAUCCCUGUACCUUGACUUUGGGCUUGACCACAUAACUUGCUUUGGCCAAUGAAAUGUUAGCAGAGAAAGCAUAAUCAGAGCUUUGGGAAAAGCUUGUGUGGCUGGCCUUGCCCGCUCUAUGCCUAUGACACUGCCCUGAGAAGAAUCUGUUCGGCCUGAUUUCCUGGUCCCAGGAGGAGCGACGUGUGUGCAGAGCAGCGCUGCUCCAGCUGAGCCCCAGGUGGCUCACCUGACCCCCAGGUUUGUGAGCAGACCCAGCCAUCAGAACCACUAGUCAACAGAGAGGCAUCUGAGCUGGGUAAGUGCUUAUUAUUGUAGGUCACGGAAAUCCUGUGGCCGUUUAUUGUGCGGCACGGCUGUAGCCAGAGCUAACCAACAGAGGACCCGGGACGAGAGGCUGCAGGGAAAGUUCCCUUGAGGGGCCUGGCAUUCCUGGACUUUUCCUUACAUGGGGCUGAAGGCUUGUGAGUAUCGCUGCCAGCUGUCCGCCAGGACCCCAGUGUGCCCCUUCUUAAGACACAUGGCACAUAUGCCUGGGGCAUAUGGGGGGACGUCUGCUCUUGCUUGAAGCUCCUGUUUGGAAAUCAUGCCUUUUGAUUCCCAUGAAAGGAUGGGUAGCUAGUUGCCCCCUCUCUGGUUCAGUAAAAGAACUGUGUCUGCAGGUCACCACUGAUACACACACCUGCAGAGAGGCCUGGCUGGGCUGCAGGCAUCUGCUCCGCUCUUCUGCACUACGAGGAAGGGUAACACAUUUGCUGUGAAGCCCAGGAUGGCUCACACCUGACGGAUGUCACCCUCAGCCCUCACCGGAGGAGCACAGUCAUUUGAAACAAAGGAUUUUAAAUCUAAGAAGAGGGUUCCUCCCAAAGAUGGGGUCUGAGAUUGGACAUGCUGUCGUCUGUUGGCAUCUUGGGCCAGAGUCCGUCAUCAGCUUUCUGCCUGGAUUUCCAAGUCAAGUGCAUUAAUAAAGGACAAGCAUAAACCUGG